CCGCCGCCUAACAAAAGACCCGCUUGCUUUGCGCUUUGUGUAAUACAUUUCCGCGCGUGCUGUGAUCUAUGUGUGAAGGUUAACCGAUGAUACCGAUGAGAGUUCCAGCUCGGUCGCCACUUUAGAACAAGAACAACUACCGAUCUGCCGAGCGGAACUCGUUGAUGAACUGUAGCACUGUGUAGAGGGUGAACAAAAAAUUGAAUCGCAGAUCUUUCCAAUUCAACCUAGCUCAGUGUAGGUCGUAAGUGUUUUUUGCUGUAAUUUUAAUUCAAAGAAUAGCGCAAAGUUUGUUUUUAGAAAUUUGUUACGAAGAUUUUCAUAUGAAAGUUUUUUUACGUAAUGAUCAACACAAAGUGAGACAGAGAAGCUAUAAAGAAGAUGAAUAAAAUUCAUCGAUUAGGCAUUAAGUGAAAAGUUUUACUAAGUAGGAUAUACUUGCAAAGUGGCGAAGAU